AAGGUUAAGCCUCACGGUUCAUUAGUACCGGUUAGCUCAACGCAUCGCUGCGCUUACACACCCGGCCUAUCAACGUCGUCGUCUUCAACGUUCCUUCAGGACCCUUAAAGGGUCAGGGAGAACUCAUCUCGGGGCAAGUUUCGUGCUUAGAUGCUUUCAGCACUUAUCUCUUCCGCAUUUAGCUACCGGGCAGUGCCAUUGGCAUGACAACCCGAACACCAGUGAUGCGUCCACUCCGGUCCUCUCGUACUAGGAGCAGCCCCCCUCAGUUCUCCAGCGCCCACGGCAGAUAGGGACCGAACUGUCUCACGACGUUCUAAACCCAGCUCGCGUACCACUUUAAAUGGCGAACAGCCAUACCCUUGGGACCUACUUCAGCCCCAGGAUGUGAUGAGCCGACAUCGAGGUGCCAAACACCGCCGUCGAUAUGAACUCUUGGGCGGUAUCAGCCUGUUAUCCCCGGAGUACCUUUUAUCCGUUGAGCGAUGGCCCUUCCAUUCAGAACCACCGGAUCACUAUGACCUGCUUUCGCACCUGCUCGCGCCGUCACGCUCGCAGUCAAGCUGGCUUAUGCCAUUGCACUAACCUCCUGAUGUCCGACCAGGAUUAGCCAACCUUCGUGCUCCUCCGUUACUCUUUAGGAGGAGACCGCCCCAGUCAAACUACCCACCAGACACUGUCCGCAACCCGGAUACGGGUCCACGUUAGAACAUCAAACAUUAAAGGGUGGUAUUUCAAGGUCGGCUCCAUGCAGACUGGCGUCCACACUUCAAAGCCUCCCACCUAUCCUACACAUCAAGGCUCAAUGUUCAGUGUCAAGCUAUAGUAAAGGUUCACGGGGUCUUUCCGUCUUGCCGCGGGUACACUGCAUCUUCACAGCGAGUUCAAUUUCACUGAGUCUCGGGUGGAGACAGCCUGGCCAUCAUUACGCCAUUCGUGCAGGUCGGAACUUACCCGACAAGGAAUUUCGCUACCUUAGGACCGUUAUAGUUACGGCCGCCGUUUACCGGGGCUUCGAUCAAGAGCUUCGCUUGCGCUAACCCCAUCAAUUAACCUUCCGGCACCGGGCAGGCGUCACACCGUUUACGUCCACUUUCGUGUUUGCACAGUGCUGUGUUUUUAAUAAACAGUUGCAGCCAGCUGGUAUCUUCGACUGAUUUCAGCUCCACGAGCAAGUCGCUUCACCUACGUAUCAGCGUGCCUUCUCCCGAAGUUACGGCACCAUUUUGCCUAGUUCCUUCACCCGAGUUCUCUCAAGCGCUUGGGUAUUCUCUACCUGACCACCUGUGUCGGUUUGGGGUACGAUUUGAUGUUACCUGAUGCUUAGAGGCUUUUCCUGGAAGCAGGGCAUUUGUUGCUUCAGCACCGUAGUGCCUCGUCAUCACGCCUCGGCCUUGAUUUUCCGGAUUUGCCUGGAAAACCAGCCUACACGCUUAAACCGGGACAACCGUCGCCCGGCCAACAUAGCCUUCUCCGUCCCCCCUUCGCAGUAACACCAAGUACAGGAAUAUUAACCUGUUUCCCAUCGACUACGCCUUUCGGCCUCGCCUUAGGGGUCGACUCACCCUGCCCCGAUUAACGUUGGACAGGAACCCUUGGUCUUCCGGCGAGCGGGCUUUUCACCCGCUUUAUCGUUACUUAUGUCAGCAUUCGCACUUCUGAUACCUCCAGCAUACCUCACAGUACACCUUCACAGGCUUACAGAACGCUCCCCUACCCAACAACGCAUAAGCGUCGCUGCCGCAGCUUCGGUGCAUGGUUUAGCCCCGUUACAUCUUCCGCGCAGGCCGACUCGACCAGUGAGCUAUUACGCUUUCUUUAAAUGAUGGCUGCUUCUAAGCCAACAUCCUGGCUGUCUGGGCCUUCCCACAUCGUUUCCCACUUAACCAUGACUUUGGGACCUUAGCUGGCGGUCUGGGUUGUUUCCCUCUUCACAACGGACGUUAGCACCCGCCGUGUGUCUCCCGUGAUAACAUUCUCCGGUAUUCGCAGUUUGCAUCGGGUUGGUAAGUCGGGAUGACCCCCUUGCCGAAACAGUGCUCUACCCCCGGAGAUGAAUUCACGAGGCGCUACCUAAAUAGCUUUCGGGGAGAACCAGCUAUCUCCCGGUUUGAUUGGCCUUUCACCCCCAGCCACAAGUCAUCCGCUAAUUUUUCAACAUUAGUCGGUUCGGUCCUCCAGUUAGUGUUACCCAACCUUCAACCUGCCCAUGGCUAGAUCACCGGGUUUCGGGUCUAUACCCUGCAACUUAACGCCCAGUUAAGACUCGGUUUCCCUUCGGCUCCCCUAUUCGGUUAACCUUGCUACAGAAUAUAAGUCGCUGACCCAUUAUACAAAAGGUACGCAGUCACACGCCUAAGCGUGCUCCCACUGCUUGUACGUACACGGUUUCAGGUUCUUUUUCACUCCCCUCGCCGGGGUUCUUUUCGCCUUUCCCUCACGGUACUGGUUCACUAUCGGUCAGUCAGGAGUAUUUAGCCUUGGAGGAUGGUCCCCCCAUAUUCAGACAGGAUACCACGUGUCCCGCCCUACUCAUCGAGCUCACAGUAUGUGCAUUUUUGUGUACGGGGCUGUCACCCUGUAUCGCACGCCUUUCCAGACGCUUCCACUAACACACACACUGAUUCAGGCUCUGGGCUGCUCCCCGUUCGCUCGCCGCUACUGGGGGAAUCUCGGUUGAUUUCUUUUCCUCGGGGUACUUAGAUGUUUCAGUUCCCCCGGUUCGCCUCAUUAACCUAUGGAUUCAGUUAAUGAUAGUGUGACGAAUCACACUGGGUUUCCCCAUUCGGAAAUCGCCGGUUAUAACGGUUCAUAUCACCUUACCGACGCUUAUCGCAGAUUAGCACGUCCUUCAUCGCCUCUGACUGCCAGGGCAUCCACCGUGUACGCUUAGUCGCUUAA
rnacentral:rRNA from 1 species